UACAGAGGUGCGAGCGUUGUUCGGAAUUACUGGGCGUAAAGGGCGCGUAGGCGGCCUUCUAAGUCAGACGUGAAAUCCCCGGCUUAACCUGGGGACUGCGUCUGAUACUGGUCAGCUCGAGUCCGGAAGAGGAGUGUGGAAUUCCUGGUGUAGCGGUGAAUGCGCAGAUAUCAGGAGGAACACCAAUGGCGAAGGCAGCACUCUGGACGGUACUGACGCUGAGACGCGAAAGCGUGGGGAGCAAACAGG
rnacentral:rRNA from 1 species